CUUAUUCCCUUCGUCUUCUUCUCCAUGCGAUCCAGUUACAAAUUGGAGAAGCUAUUACUAAUGGAAAAAAUUGGGCAAUAAAAAACUAUAGAAAUGAUUUGCACACCUAAAUCACUAUAUCUGAGAUCGAGCUUUAUGUUAUUAUACAAACUCAAAUUAGAAAUUAACCUCAAAUAGAUGAGUAAGUUUUCAAUGGUAACUAGAUUUCGAAAUCAAUGUGAUGAAAUCAACAUCUUGCACAUAAAAAUCAAAGUCUACAACAAGAUAAGAAGAAAAUAGACCCACUUCUUUUCCAUUAAAACAUUUACCAAAGAACCCUAAUCUAAAAACCAACCAAAAACACAAGAAAAGAAAAACCCACUUCCAUUAACAAUCUGAUGAGCAUUUAUGAAAAGUAAAAAAGAAAAAUAGCCAUAAAAACGAACCCGAGGAUCUGCAAAGAUCAAAACUUUAGGUUUUCCGUUCAACCCUUAAUCAAUAAUCGAUUUACAGUUCCAAAUAAUUGAAGUGGGAGAUAUAAUAGAAGGAAGGAAGAAGGGAGUGAUAUAUCCCUACCAAAAUUGUGGUGGAGGAUAAUACAGAGAAAAGGGGGAAGAAUAUGGAGAAUUUGAGGAAUCAAGGAUCGUUUGGAUCGCAUACACCAGGAGAAGAAGACGAAGGAAACAAAUGAGAAGAAGAAACUAAAAAAAAUGAAGGGAUGGUUUUAAGGGCCUUGCAAUGGUGAAAGGACAAAAAUGCCCCCACUAUG